AAAGCGGCAGUGAGGGUGGCUGCGUGUUUCCGGAAGACGUGGCGGCUCUCGCCUGGGCUGUUUCCCGGCUUCAUUUCUCCCGACUCAGCUUCCCACCCUGGGCUUUCCGAGGUGCUGUCGCCGCUGUCCCCACCACUGCAGCCAUGAUCUCCUUAACGGACACGCAGAGGGCUUCUUUCCUGUCGUUGUUGGCUUUAUUAGAAGAGUGCCAGUCCUUGGAUCCCUCCUAAAUUUACCUGGAAUUAGAUCAUUUGUAGAUAAAGUUGGAGAAAGCAACAAUAUGGUAUAACAACAAGUGAAUUUGAAGACUCAUUUAAAAUAUUGUGUUAUUUAUAAAGUCAUUUGAAGAAUAUUCAGCACAAAAUUAAAUUACAUGAAAUAGCUUGUAAUGUUCUUUACAGGAGUUUAAAACGUAUAGCCUACAAAGUACCAGCAGCAAAUUAGCAAAGAAGCAGUGAAAACAGGCUUCUACUCAAGUGAACUAAGAAGAAGUCAGCAAGCAAACUGAGAGAGGUGAAAUCCAUGUUAAUGAUGCUUAAGAAACUCUUGAAGGCUAUUUGUGUUGUUUUUCCACAAUGUGCGAAACUCAGCCAUCCUUAGAGAACUGUGGUGCCUGUUUCUUUUCUUUUUAUUUUGAAGGCUCAGGAGCAUCCAUAGGCAUUUGCUUUUUAGAAAUGUCCACUGCAAUGGCAAAAAUAUUUCCAGUUGCACUGUAUCUCUGGAAGUGAUGCAUGAAUUCGAUUGGAUUGUGUCAUUUUAAAGUAUUAAAACCAAGGAAACCCCAAUUUUGAUGUAUGGAUUACUUUUUUUUGU
rnacentral:lncRNA from 1 species